CUCUCUCUCUCUCUCUCUCUCUCUCUCUCUCUCUCUCUCAUUCCCUAUUAGGUAAAUUUGAAAAUCUAAAAAUGACUUGGCACUUUUAAAAGGUAACUUCACCAAAGACCGACGAGCCAGUAGCCAGCAGCUCCACCUUGUCUCAGCGUCAUAUCUUGUCUGCCCUUUCUUUUUGCCGGACCAGUUUGCGGUUAGGAGAAUGUGCCUUUUUUGUAACUUUGCAUUAGGUUUUAUAAUUUUAACUGAUGUACGGACUCACAGAGACAAAUUAAAAACAAAAAAAAAAAACAAAACAAAACAAAAAAAGCACGAAGGAAGAUUUGAAUCCAGGCAGUGCCGCUCUCUGAUGUCAUCCACUACAGGCGUUCACGUGUAAAGAAAAACCAACUUUGAAACUAUGAAAUUCCUGAUUCAUAAAUACAGUUAUUUCUACUUUAGUACAUGCAAGAUAAUUCACUGUUAUUAACACUCUUUUAUUAAGGCAGUUGCAUACGUUUUAAAAGCAAUGGUAAAUUAAGUUGUCUUCCAAAACUGUGUACUUGUCUGGUCAGCUGUAUAUGAUCAGUUAUCUACCUCAGAGGCUAUUUUUCUUUUGUGCUGGGACAGGUUGCUGGCCCUCCCUGUUUCCACCGACCAAAUCCUCCCAGCUCUGGAGUUAGGGCUGGGCAUUUAUUUCUUUUGAGUGUUUUUUAGUUCUUAAAUUUUUAUUGCUUGUAUUUGAUGAUAGAUGUCAGUGACAUUUCAUAGUUUCAAAAGUCCUUGCUGCUCUGAAAGUGUAGAUUCUAGUGAAAAUUACAUAGUCAUAAGAGAAAUGUGGUUUUUUUGUUUUUGGUUUUUUUCUUGUUUCUUUUUUCCUUUUUUUCUUUUUUUCUUUUUCUUUUCUUUUUUUCUUUUUUUAAAGAAGUUGUGGUAUUAUUGGUUCUAUGCUCCCUCAAACAUUCUGCUUUGUGAAGUCCAGACUGAAGGCAGCACCCUCCAUGUACUGAGUAUGUUUGUCAGCCCGGGGCGCUCACUACUUGAUAUUUUUUCCAUUAGUUAAGACAGAAAGUUGUUAGCUCAGUCAGUGGGGGAGGGGAGAUCUGCUGCUAGGUCUGAACUAAGUGCCAUACUCGUCUGGGUCAGAUUUGGGAAACAACCUCUGUACAUAUGAAAGAAGAAAAAAAAGUCAGUUAAACAUCACAUAGUAGACAGCCAUUAAAUUAUAAAAAAAAUUAAUUUAUGAAGAAAGACCUUUUGUACAGAUUGAAAAAAAAGAUUUUCAUAGAGAUAUCUAUAUGAUCAAGAGAGUUAAUUUUUUAUUUUUGUUCUGGUAGUGCUACAUUCUUGCCAGUGGUGACUUAUUUACCGGUUCAAGAUGACUCUGUAGUUUUCUUUCCUAGGACUUGUUAAAACGCCAAAAGACAUUUCUGAACUGUACAUUUGAUCAGAUUGUUAGCUUUUUCUGUUUUAUUUCUUUUGAGAACCUUUGAAUAAAAACAUCUGAAACUUUCUUCUUCCUGU
rnacentral:lncRNA from 1 species